UGCCCCCGCCCGCCGUGGGAUGCGGAGCGGCAAUGGAGCUGAGAGAGAGGUUUUACUUUUCAAACCCUGCCUGUUAUUCGCAGAAUCCAGUGCUGAAGUACUGAAGAGAUCUGGGUGGAGCAGUGCUUUGGUUCUCCAGAGAUACAGCUUCCCUCUGUGGAUGAAUAGAGGCAGACCUUGGCUUCUUGAGCAGCUACCUGUGAGAUCUGGCAAGGCCUACUGUGAAGGUGCUUGGUUCAUUCUGAGCAGGAAGAGCUCUGGAAUAAAUCGGAGGGACUAAGGGGGCCUUCCUGAAACAAGCCCCGGGAAGGGAUGGAAGAAGCGUAAAUACAACGCUUCGCUGUGAGAGAAUACAUAAGAAUGUGGAUUAACAAAGGCACGAGAGCUCGCAACAAGCAACACGUAACAGUUUCCAUCGGGAAGUUUCCCCUUGAGGCGUUCUGCAGAGCCCUCCCGCACUGCGCAGCAGCAUGCUGCCAUCUCCUGGCAAAACGUGAGCUUGGCACUCCAGUACCAGCCCCUGUUACCAGAUCGAUUUCCUGACGUUUGGUUUAAAUUGGUGCGCUGUAGAAAAACACGUUCUUUCAAGCGGAGGGGAAAGAAAAGUCAAGAGAAAGGCAUACUUGAUUGGAGUAAAAAACUGCAAUGAGAAUGAGUGAAAUAAGUGCUAUGAAUCACAACGGUGCCCAAGUCAGCAUGUGAUAUGCAAAACACAAUUCUUACAUUAGAGAGGAAAUGCAGGGGGGGGGGAAAUCCUUAUGACUAAGUUUCAUCUCUUUGCUGACGUGCCGAG
rnacentral:lncRNA from 1 species